rnacentral:lncRNA from 1 species
GCCCAGGCCCUCCGCUCGAGCAAGUGCUCCACGGCUGAGCCUUCCGCCUGUCUUGUCACCGGAGGGACACUCAGGCCGCAGACCCCAGGGCCCGCCUGUCCUGCUGCUGAUGUGUUUGGCUCCCGAGAUGUCCAGGCUGUCCAUGGCUCCUGAGCAUGCAUCCAUUUCUCCAUCCGAUUCCCGAUGUUCAUCUCCUGUCCAGAGUGGCUCUGCCCACCUACGGCUGACCCCAAGACGUACAAUCUGGACUGUCACACGGCCCAGUGUGCAGAAGGCCUCACUCUGGGUCAAAUGCUCUGCUGUGGCCAUCUCGCAAGUCUUUAUUUUUGAACAAAGGGCGUGCAUCUUCCUUUGGCACUGGGGUUCUGUCUGCAUUCCAUUUUGCAUUAUACACUGUGUAGAAUAGGCCCCGCCUCUUCUUGAUAGCCCUCUCCUCAGCCAUGGAGGCCCUGGGAAGGUCAGAUGGAAACUGCUUUCAUGAAGCAUCCUGGCCAGGACCGUGAGUGGCCUUCCAUUCUCCCCAGG